rnacentral:misc_RNA from 1 species
UCAUGUAAUCUAUUUCAUUAACUGAUAAAAUAUUGUCACCUUGCUUUAAUGUCCCCUACUGGACAGCUUAUACAUUUCAAGUCCUUCAAUCUAAGAAUUAUCUAAACCUUUGUUGGGUAUUUUCGUUAUGAUCAUACCAACCAGUAAAAAUAUAGGAAAACCAAACAUGUAAAUUCACUUGCUGCUACUAAAUGAAGAAUUGAUUCAUAUAAUGCCUUGCUUCCAGUUAGGGAUCAGCAUGUCCAGCAACAUCAUCAUCGCUUGAACCGCUUUCAUUAUUGCUGAUUUCAUCCUCUUCACUCUCAUCUUCUGCUGUGCAUUUAAUGUCAUUCUCCUUCUUCGCAUAUCGUUCGCAGUACUCUUUAACUUUUUCGUCAUACUGCUUCCGGUCCUUCAUCAUAAGCGACGCUGCGUCACCAUUAAGGGGGUCGGAAGGGUUGGGAUAAAGGAGAAGCUGGGGAAGAAAAACCUCAAAAACGUUUAAGAGAUCGAACAUCGGACUCCAAGACUGAUUAAUCACAUCUAAGCACACAGAACCAGAUAGUUCGUCAACAUUUGGGUGGAAUAUCUUGUUCACAAAACCAAUUGAAGGAGACUUAUAUGGAUAUGCAUCAGGUAGCUCGACACGGAUUUUCCAAACACCAGUUUCAUAUAAGCUUUCUUUGGGACCAUGGAACUCCACAUUGAAUUCACUGAGUCCG